GCUGCCCGCCCGCUCCGAAUUUUCGGGGCGGGGGCAGGCGGACUGAGCUCCUCUCCUGAAGUGAUUCCGCACGCAUUUGUUUCGGGGUCCCGGCCUUAACCUCCUGAGCUUUACAACGGGGAAUAGUCUUUGCCGGCUCGCCCACCGUGUGGUGGCUGGAUAAUAUAUAUUCCGGCUGAGAGAGACUUGUCAACUAUCCCGCCGGGUGGCAGUUCACAGCCCUCCCAGAUUGGAGGGUGGUGAAGUGAGGGGGUUUCAGGUCCCGGCCUGCGACCUCCCAGUAGGAGGGGCUGGUGGUCGUUUAGGUUCCGCGAAGCCCGCCACGCUUCAGGCCAGGACACGUGAUGCCCUUGGGGGCAGUCGGGCCGCAUUGUCCCUGAAUCCUGCCUAGAGCAGAGCAGCCUUCCUGGAGCCCUGUACUAGGCUCUUGGUCGUCCUCACCAUCUCGCCGUGGGCAGCUGCCCCAGCGAGAGACUCAGAAACUCCUGCCUGGAGCAGGAGCUGAGCGUCACCCAAAACCCAGGUUGAAAGGGGACCCUCUAGGUUGUCCUGAGCUGUGGACACGGUGGAGGCGACCCUGGGUCUCAUCGGAAAAUCAAACCCAGAGAAGAAAUUGGUCUCUGAUGAUCAAACCUCCUGGGAGAGUCGCAAUUGAAGACAUCCCCAAACUUUUUACAAAGCUAUAAAUCUAGAAGAAAAAGAAGCUACAUGGAUGGAGGGAGACAGUUAAGAAUUACAAGAUAUUUUAGCAAUAGAAUUCAAAGGACUAAAGAAUCUGUGUGAUGCUACAGAUGAAAGCUGCACCCAGACUGUCAGAGAUCUGAACAGAAGGCCCAUCAUGACUGUGGGACUGGGGCAAAUGGACGUUGGGGUUCAACUUCUCUGAG